rnacentral:rRNA from 1 species
AGAUUAAGUUAUUAAGGGCGCACGGUGGAUGCCUUGGCACUAGAAGCCGACGAAGGACGUUACUAACGACGAUAUGCUUUGGGUAGCUGUAAGUAAGCGUUGAUCCAGAGAUUUCCGAAUGGGGGAACCCAGCACGAGUUAUGUCGUGUUAUCGACAAGUGAAUUCAUAGCUUGUCAGAAGGCAGACCCGGAGAACUGAAACAUCUUAGUACCCGGAGGAAGAGAAAGAAAAAUCGAUUCCCUGAGUAGCGGCGAGCGAAACGGGAAGAGCCCAAACCAAUAAGCUUGCUUAUUGGGGUUGUAGGACACUCUAUACGGAGUUACAAAGGAAUAUAUUAGACGAAUCAUCUGGAAAGUUGAAUCAAAGAAGGUAAUAAUCCUGUAGUUGAAAAUAUAUUCUCUCUUGAGUGGAUCCUGAGUACGACGGAGCACGUGAAAUUCCGUCGGAAUCUGGGAGGACCAUCUCCUAAGGCUAAAUACUCUCUAGUGACCGAUAGUGAACCAGUACCGUGAGGGAAAGGUGAAAAGUACCCCGGAAGGGGAGUGAAAGAGAACUUGAAACCGUGUGCUUACAAGUAGUCAGAGCCCGUUAAUGGGUGAUGGCGUGCCUUUUGUAGAAUGAACCGGCGAGUUACGAUCUGAUGCAAGGUUAAGCAGGAAAUGUGGAGCCGUAGCGAAAGCGAGUCUGAAUAGGGCGUUGAGUAUUUGGUCGUAGACCCGAAACCAGGUGAUCUACCCAUGGUCAGGUUGAAGUUCAGGUAACACUGAAUGGAGGACCGAACCGACUUACGUUGAAAAGUGAGCGGAUGAACUGUGGGUAGCGGAGAAAUUCCAAUCGAACUUGGAGAUAGCUGGUUCUCUCCGAAAUAGCUUUAGGGCUAGCCUCAAGUGAUGAUUAUUGGAGGUAGAGCACUGUUUGGACGAGGGGCCCCUCUCGGGUUACCGAAUUCAGACAAACUCCGAAUGCCAAUUAAUUUAACUUGGGAGUCAGAACAUGGGUGAUAAGGUCCGUGUUCGAAAGGGAAACAGCCCAGACCACCAGCUAAGGUCCCAAAAUAUAUGUUAAGUGGAAAAGGAUGUGGCGUUGCCCAGACAACUAGGAUGUUGGCUUAGAAGCAGCCAUCAUUUAAAGAGUGCGUAAUAGCUCACUAGUCGAGUGACACUGCGCCGAAAAUGUACCGGGGCUAAACAUAUUACCGAAGCUGUGGAUUGUCCGUAGGACAAUGGUAGGAGAGCGUUCUAAGGGCGUUGAAGCAUGAUUGCAAGGACAUGUGGAGCGCUUAGAAGUGAGAAUGCCGGUGUGAGUAGCGAAAGACGGGUGAGAAUCCCGUCCACCGAUUGACUAAGGUUUCCAGAGGAAGGCUCGUCCGCUCUGGGUUAGUCGGGUCCUAAGCUGAGGCCGACAGGCGUAGGCGAUGGAUAACAGGUUGAUAUUCCUGUACCACCUAGCAUCGUUUUAAUCGAUGGGGGG